GGAUGGGUGACCUCCCGG
rnacentral:snRNA from 1 species